rnacentral:rRNA from 1 species
UGCUGCCUAUACUGCAAGUCGAGCGGAUCUUCUCCUUCGGGAUAAGUUAGCGGCGGACGGGUGAGUAACACGUAAGCAACCUGCCCACAAGACCGGGAUAACAUUCGGAAACGAAUGCUAAGACCGGAUACGCAAGCUUGUCGCAUGACGGGCUUGGGAAACACGGCGCAAGCUGUGGCUUGCGGAUGGGCCUGCGGCGCAUUAGCUAGUUGGUGGGGUAACGGCUCACCAAGGCGACGAUGCGUAGCCGACCUGAGAGGGUGAACGGCCACACUGGGACUGAGACACGGCCCAGACUCCUACGGGAGGCAGCAGUAGGGAAUCUUCCACAAUGGGCGAAAGCCUGAUGGAGCAACGCCGCGUGAGUGAAGAAAGCCUUCGGGUCGUAAAGCUCUGCUGCCAGGGAAGAAUAAAGGCUAGUUAACUGCUAGUCCGAUGACGGUACCUGAGAAGAAAGCCCCGGCUAACUACGUGCCAGCAGCCGCGGUAAUACGUAGGGGGCAAGCGUUGUCCGGAAUUAUUGGGCGUAAAGCGCGCGCAGGCGGCCUUUUAAGUCUGGUGUUUAAGUGCGGGGCUCAACCCCGUGACGCACCGGAAACUGGGAAGCUUGAGUGCAAAAGAGAGAGCGGAAUUCCCGUGUAGCGGUGGAAUGCGUAGAGAUGUGGAGGAACACCAGUGGCGAAAGCGGCUCUCCGGACUGUAACUGACGCUGAAGCGCGAAAGCGUGGGGGACCAACCAAGAUUAAAUACCCCGGUAAUCCACGCCGUAAACGAUGAGUGCUAAGUGGGUGGGGGGGGUCCACCCCCUCGGUAGCCAAAGUUACACAUUUAGCACUCCAGCCUGGGGGAGUACAGGUCGCAAGACUGGAACUCCAAGGAAUUGACGGGGACCGGCCCAAGCGUGGGAAUUAUGUGUUUUAUUCCAAACCACGCGAAAAACCCUUCCAGGUCCUGGAAUCCCUCUGACCG